GGGGUAUGGAAUAACUCAGGGAAACUUGAGCUAAUACCAUAUAAUGUCUUCGGACCAAAGAUUUAUCGCCCUGAGAUAAGCCCGCGUAGGAUUAGCUAGUUGGUGAGGUAAAGGCUCACCAAGGCGACGAUCCUUAGCUGGUCUGAGAGGAUGAUCAGCCACACUGGGACUGAGANNNNNCCCAGACUCCUACGGGAGGCAGCAGUGGGGAAUAUUGGACAAUGGGCGAAAGCCUGAUCCAGCAAUGCCGCGUGGGUGAUGAAGGCCUUCGGGUUGUAAAGCUCUUUUACUCGGGACGAUAAUGACGGUACCGAGAGAAUAAGCCCCGGCUAACUCCGUGCCAGCAGCCGCGGUAAUACGGAGGGGGCUAGCGUUGUUCGGAAUCACUGGGCGUAAAGCGUACGUAGGCGGCUUGUCAAGUCAGGGGUGAAAGCCUGGGGCUCAACCUCAGAACUGCCCUUGAAACUGGCUAGCUUGAACAUAGGAGAGGUGAGUGGAAUUCCGAGUGUAGAGGUGAAAUUCGUAGAUAUUCGGAGGAACACCAGUGGCGAAGGCGACUCACUGGACUAUUGUUGACGCUGAGGUACGAAAGCGUGGGGAGCAAACAGGAUUAGAUACCCUGGUAGUCCACGCCGUANACGAUGGAUGCUAGCUGUCGGGGCUCUUUGAGCUUCGGUGGCGCAGCUAACGCAUUAAGCAUCCCGCCUGGGAAGUACGGUCGCAAGAUUAAAACUCAAAGGAAUUGACGGGGNNNUGCACAAGCGGUGGAGCAUGUGGUUUAUUCGAAAGCACGCGCAGACCUUACCNNNUUUUGACAU
rnacentral:rRNA from 1 species